rnacentral:rRNA from 1 species
UACACCUACGGGACGCAGCAGUAGGGAAUCUUCCACAAUGGACGAAAGUCUGAUGGAGCAACGCCGCGUGAGUGAAGAAGGGUUUCGGCUCGUAAAGCUCUGUUGGUAGUGAAGAAAGAUAGAGGUAGUAACUGGCCCUUAUUUGACGGUAAUUACUUAGAAAGUCACGGCUAACUACGUGCCAGCAGCCGCGGUAAUACGUAGGUGGCAAGCGUUGUCCGGAUUUAUUGGGCGUAAAGCGAGUGCAGGCGGUUCAAUAAGGUUG